CUUCGAACGCACAUUGCGGUCUUCGGAUACUGUUCCUGGACCACUCCUGGCUGAGGGUCGUUUCAAUUUCCACGACUGCCGGGCGUUGUAUGCACCGCCAAGUACGGUGCUCGCCGAGGCAAAUAUAUGGCCGUUCGCGAUAAGCCGUAACGUCGUUCGUCUCGUAUAGCCCCGCUCUAGUACGGAGGCGGCGGAACGAGUCUGACGUAAGCUAUAUCGCGUCGGUUUAAAUUACCGCCACUAAAAUAAGGUUCGCGGCGAACAGCGUGUAUUAUGUUGUGUUAUAUAAUACGCCCGUCGGAACUCGAUUGUGGUCGACGUGUCAGAGACAAGACCGAGGAUGAAAUGCUUGCAUAUUCGUUAUCCCGAGUUUUGCGUUGCGGGGAACGGGUGUCGUCGUAUUAGUCAGGUGUAAACGGGUUCAGCGAUAACUGUGUGAUGUACGACGACCACGAAGUCCGUCGUCUUCUCAUUAUUAUGUCGCGAUAACUUUACAUAGACGGACGACAGAUAGCCACGUUUAACCAACCGUCGUCAGACCUAUCGGUUCGAAAUUUGCCGCGGGUUUAACUUUUUUAGCUCGUCGCCCAUCGAAGCGACGGCGGAGAACACCCGCGUGCGAAUAACGGGCGUGCCGUUUGUGUGACCAUAGGCGUGUUUGUAAAUUUUAUGAACGA
rnacentral:misc_RNA from 1 species